rnacentral:rRNA from 1 species
GGACGAACGCUGGCGGCGUGCUUAACACAUGCAAGUCGAACGGUGACGAGGAGCUUGCUCCUCCGAUCAGUGGCGAACGGGUGAGUAACACGUGAGUAACCUGCCCCAGACUCUGGAAUAACAGUUGGAAACAGCUGCUAAUACCGGAUACGAGACGGAGAGGCAUCUCUACCGUCUGGAAAGUUUUUCGGUCUGGGAUGGACUCGCGGCCUAUCAGCUUGUUGGUAAGGUAAUGGCCCACCAAGGCGAGGAUCGGUAGCUGGUCUGAGAGGAUGAUCAGCCACACUGGGAUUGAGAACGGCCCAGACUCCUACGGGAGGCAGCAGUGAGGAAUAUUGCACAAUGGGGGAAACCCUGAUGCAGCAACGCCGCGUGGGUGAAGAAGGCUUUCGAGUUGUAAAGCCCUUUACUGUGGGAUGAGAAAAAGGACAGUACCACAGCAAAAAGUCUCGGCUAACUACGUGCCAGCAGCCGCGGUGAGACGUAGGAGGCAAGCGUUAUCCGGAUUUACUGGGCGUAAAGGGCAAGUAGGCGGUUGUUCAAGUUGGGCGUGACAGAUCUCGGCUUAACUGAGAGAGGUCGUCCAAUACUGAGCGACUAGAGGGCAGGAGAGGAAAGUGGAACUCCCGAUGUAGCGGUGGAAUGCUCAGAUAUCGGGAAGAACACCAGUGGCGAAGGCGGCUUUCUGGCCUGUACCUGACGCUGAGAGGCGAAAGCUAGGGGAGCGAACGGGCUUAGAUACCCCGGUAGUCCUAGCUGUAAACGUUGGAUACUAGGUAAUGGUGGUCAAGGCCAUCAGUGCCGAAGCAAACGCGUUAAGUAUCCCGCCUGGGGACUACGACCGCAAGGUUAAAACUCAAAGGAAUUGACGGGGACCCGCACAAGCAGCGGAGCGUGUGGUUUAAUUCGAUGCUACACGAAGAACCUUACCUGGGCUUGACAUGUACGUCGUAGGGGACCGAAAGGCGACCGAUCCUUCGGGAAGCGUACACAGGUGCUGCAUGGCUGUCGUCAGCUCGUGCCGUGAGGUGUUCGGUUAAGUCCGACAACGAGCGCAACCCUUGUUGCCAGUUAUACUUUACUGGCGAGACUGCUGGCAUAUAACCAGAGGAAGGUGGGGAUGACGUCAAGUCAGUAUGGCCUUUAUGUCCAGGGCUACACACACGCUACAAUGGCCGGUACAGAGGGUAGCCAAGCCGCGAGGCGGAGCCAAUCCCAGAAAGCCGGUCUCAGUUCAGAUUGCAGGCUGCAACCCGCCUGCAUGAAGUCGGAGUUGCUAGUAACCGCAGGUCAGCCAUACUGCGGUGAAUACGUUCCCGGGUCU